rnacentral:ribozyme from 1 species
CCUUGUCUUCUUCUACUUCUUCAAGUUCUAAGAAACAUCCAUACAAAAUUCAUGUCAGAGGUAUUACUGAAGCUCAACUCAGGGGGCAAUCUGUCUCUCUUUCUCUCCC